rnacentral:rRNA from 1 species
UACGAAGGGGGGCUAGCGUUGCUCGGAAUCACUGGGCGUAAAGGGUGCGUAGGCGGGUCUUUAAGUCAGGGGGUGAAAUCCCAGAGCUCAACUCUGGAACUGCCUUUUGAUACUGGCAAGCUAGAGUCCGGAAGAGGUAAAGUGGAACUCCUAAGUGUAGAGGUGGAAUUCGUAGAUAUUAGGAAGAACACCAGUGGCGAAGGCGCUUACUGGUCCGGAACUGACGCUGAGGUGCGAAAGCGUGGGGAUCAAACAGG